rnacentral:sRNA from 1 species
GAUCUCACAGGAAUCCUUCAACUGCUUUCUACCAAGCGUUCCAUUUGAACACGUUACAGGAAUCAAAGAGCCUCUGGGAUAGGGGGGGAAUCACGUGGUAUCUAGCAUGGGACAAAGCAGCAAAAUAAACCAAAAGGACAAUCUCUAUUUUAUAUAGAAAAUAAACAUACUUUUCUGCAUCCUGUGUACUUUAAGUAUAUCUAUAUUUUUGAAGGGUUCAUAUUGUGUUGAAUUUUUCAUAUGAAAUAGUCACUUCCCCAGUGUAUUUUAAUGCAAAUGCAUAUUCUAUAAAAUAAACUAUAUUUUAAUUUU